GCCAGCGUGGCGUAGUGGUUUGAGCGUUCGACUCUCACUCUGGAGGCCAGGUUCGAAUCCCGGCUGGGACA